GCCUUCUUGGCUCAGUUGGUUAGAGCGCAGGUCUCAUAGAAAUAUGACUGGUGUACCACCAGGUAAUCCUGAGGUCGCAAGUUCGAACCUUGCAGGGGGCA
rnacentral:tRNA from 1 species